rnacentral:rRNA from 1 species
UACAUGGGGUGCAAACGUUGCUCGGAAUUAUUGGGCGUAAAGCGCACGUAGGCGGUUCGUUAAGUCGGAUGUGAAAGCCCUCGGCUCAACUGAGGAAGUGCACCCGAAACUGGCGAGCUUGAGUACGAAAGAGGAUCGCGGAAUUCCCGGUGUAGAGGUGAAAUUCGUAGAUAUCGGGAGGAACACCGGUGGCGAAGGCGGCUGCCUGGGCCAGUUCUGACGCUGAGGCGCGAAAGCGUGGGGAGCAAACAGG